UCAACUACAUAGCAGCAAAUUCAAAGCC
rnacentral:piRNA from 1 species